rnacentral:rRNA from 1 species
UACGUAGGGUGCAAGCGUUUAAUCGGAAUACUGGGCGUAAAGAGCGCGCAGGCGGUCGAUCAAGUCGAGUGUGAAAGCCCCCGGCUCAACUGGGGAGGGUCAUUCGAAACUGGUCGACUCGAAGGCAGGAGAGGGUAGUGGAAUUCCCGGUGUAGUGGUGAAAUGCGUAGAUAUCAGGAGGAACACCGGUGGCGAAGGCGGAUCUCUGGGCCGAUACUGACGCUGAGGAGCGAAAGCGUGGGGAGCAAACAGG